rnacentral:rRNA from 1 species
ACCCAGACUCCUACGGGAGGCAGCAGUGGGGAAUAUUGCGCAAUGGGGGCAACCCUGACGCAGCAACGCCGCGUGAUUGAAGAAGGCCUUCGGGUUGUAAAGAUCUUUAAUCGGGGACGAAUUUUGACGGUACCCGAAGAAUAAGCUCCGGCUAACUACGUGCCAGCAGCCGCGGUAAUACGUAGGGGGCAAGCGUUAUCCGGAUUUACUGGGUGUAAAGGGAGCGUAGACGGCAAUACAAGUCGGAAGUGAAAUACCCGGGCUUAACCUGGGAACUGCUUUGGAAACUGUAUGGCUGGAGUGCUGGAGAGGUAAGCGGAAUUCCUAGUGUAGCGGUGAAAUGCGUAGAUAUUAGGAGGAACACCAGUGGCGAAGGCGGCCUACUGGGCUUUAACUGACGCUGAGGCACGAAAGCGUGGGUAGCAAACAGGAUUAGAUACCCCCGUAA